rnacentral:rRNA from 1 species
GACGAACGCUGGCGGCGUGCUUAACACAUGCAAGUCGAACGAGGUUCAUGGAGCUUGCUCCGGAAGACCUAGUGGCGAACGGGUGCGUAACACGUGAGAAACCUGCCCUGGACUUGGGAAUAACAGUCGGAAACGACUGCUAAUACCGAAUACCUUCACACCAUCGCAUGGUGAAGUGAAGGAAGCUUUUGCGGUUCAGGAGGGUCUCGCGGCCUAUCAGCUUGUUGGUGAGGUAACGGCUCACCAAGGCAUCGACGGGUAGCUGGUCUGAAAGGAUGAUCAGCCACACUGGGACUGAGACACGGCCCAGACUCCUACGGGAGGCAGCAGUGGGGAAUAUUGCACAAUGGGCGAAAGCCUGAUGCAGCAACGCGCGUGCGGGAAGAAGGCCCUAGGGUUGUAAACCGCUUUCAGCAGGGAAGAAAAUGACGGUACCUGCAGAAGAAGGUGCGGCCAACUACGUGCCAGCAGCCGCGGUGACACGUAGGCACCAAGCGUUGUCCGGAUUUAUUGGGCGUAAAGAGCUCGUAGGCGGUUCAGUAAGUCGGGUGUGAAAACUCUGGGCUCAACCCAGAGAGGCCACCCGAUACUGCUGUGACUCGAGUACGGU